GCGUUGUCCGGAUUUAUUGGGCGUAAAGCGCACGCAGGCGGUCUGCCAAGUUCGCGAUGACAGCUCCCGGCUCAACUGGGAGAGGCACGCGAAAACUGAUAGACUUGAGGGCUAUGGAGGGAUGCGGAAUUCCGGGUGGAGUGGUGAAAUACGUAGAUAUCCGGAGGAACACCAAAGGCGAAGGCAGCAUCCUGGGUAGUACCUGACGCUCAUGUGCGAAAGCCAG
rnacentral:rRNA from 1 species